AUAGGAGUGCAGACCUUGGCUGUUGAUUAGAGGGCCACUAAGUUGGAACUUGGAGUAGAGGCUGGACCCGGCUUCCCCUACCAGCCACCAAGGAUGUGGCAUAAACCAGGCAAGGGACAGUGGACCUGAUGGAAAGACUGAUACACCCCAGAAGGGGAAUACGUAUGGUGACCCCUCCGGAGGACUGAGUUACAAACAGGAGACUUCAGUUCCUGGAGUGAGAGGGGUCUGCAGGAUGAGAAGAUGACAGGAGAGACCCUGCCAGAGGAGGGCACAAUGUUUGGCCAGAGCUAAUCCCCAGAGCGAUCAGGAGGAGGUGCUACCAAUGUAUUGUUGUCGCUGUGGUGGUCCCUGCAACCUCGCCAAGCUUAUGAGAAACAAGCUUCCCACAGAUCAGAACACACCUACUCAAAGUGGCACCAGCCCUUGCCAGAGCAACAGAUGGAAAAACCUGGAAACCUAUCUCCACUGCUACAAUGAUCAAUACACCUUUCAAUCCAUGGGCCGUAUACAUGCCUAUCUCAACAUGUGGUGUUCCUCAUUCAGUCCUUUAAACAGCCCAUGAACAAAUAGGUGAGUGAAAUGAGACCAUCACUAUGCUCCUGAAUGAACUCUCACAGAAAUAUGAGAGACACAAAAACAACAUAUCAGCUGUGGGCGAACACUUCUCACAAAAUGAUCAUUCCAUAUCUGACCUCUCAGUUCUUGUCCUCAAAGGAAACCUUCACAACACCUUCAAAAGACAAGCCUGGGAACUUAAAUUCAUAACUCUUCUAGACAUCAAAAAUAAUGGAUGUAAUAAAAAUGCUGGAUUUAUGGCUCAUUACAACAAGCUGUAUCCCACUCACCCUCCUUUGUCCUACAACCGUAGAGAUAUUAACUGCCCACUUCAACUUGAAUGGUCUCUUGCUGAACGUGUUAACCCCUUAUCUGUUCCACUGUUUGUAUUUGUCUGUGAUGCUUUGUGUACCUUACCCAGACCUGAAGAAGAGCUCUGUGUAGGUCAAAAGCUUCUUUUUCACCAACAGAAGUUGAUUCAAUAAAAGAUAUUACCUCACCUACCUUGUGUCUUUAAAAAGAUAAACAAAUGAACACUAUUCAUAUUUUCAAACCACAGGCUGGAAAUUGCCGAUAUGUUACAUAACUUUAACAAGAUCAGAAAUGACCAUAUGUAUUGAAACAACCAUCAGAUCUUCAUAGUGUUUUAACGGUUUGCUUUAAUAUUUACUAUAUGUUUAUUGUCUUAUGAUCUGUUUUCUGCCUGCUUUUUGGCCUUUGUUACUUUAUGUAGUUGUCUUAAAACACUUUAUUGUACUGUUGUCACAGAAGUAUUUUUGCCUUAAGAGUUCUUUUCCUUAAAGAAUUAAGUUCAUGUCUGGAGUCAAAGAAAAAUAUAUGAACUGUAAUUUGAAUGGGUAUUCUGUUACUUUAAAUUGUGUUCCCUAGGGCUGUGUCCCACACUUUGGGAGACGAUACAAAAGACUAGCUGGAAGGGCAUGAACAGACCUCUCAGUUGUUCCCUAAAGUCUCACUUUUCAUUUUCAAAUGAAAGCUAACACUGUUACGGUUGCAAAGAAAAUCUUCAAACUAUGACCCAAGUGUAACUGAUGUAGCAGUAUCUGACUGAAUUUGCAGAGAGCCUGAAAUAACAGCCCUGAGAGCUGUGAACUGCCCCCUUCAUUUUAGUGGAUGUUAAUUCAGGUGCCAAUGAUGAUACUUUAAAUAUCAACGUUAUUCACUGCUCAAAGCAUGUAAGAAAGGAUAGGAAACUAUUUUAUUGUGAAAGUCUAAAUUGUGGAUAUGCCUUUAACAAUCCAUGGUGGGAUUGAAGGAGUAUGCAGUUGGUUUCAUUUUCCUGAAGAUCAAACUUUACGUUUUAGUUUAAAACUACAUCAAAUGCAGAACAGUCUAUUCUAUUCCCCUUUUCCAUUUUUGUAAGUGAUCAGUUUUGUCUUUUGUUUUUCUUCUAGUUAGGUAAUCUCAGCCUCCCUUUCUAGUUUCUGCUCAAAUCAGCUCUUUUGAAGGAAGCACUGGCACUUCUCAUUUCUCUCUCUCUCCCUCCCUCCUUUCUGUUUCUUUUUCAUAGAGUCAGAUGUAGUUGAAACAGCUCAAUAGAAUUUGCAGACCCAUCUUAUUCUAAUGAUUUGCAUCUUGUAUUUUUAAUGAAAUUUUUCACACAUGCCCCUACCAGUCAUGCUGCAGAGGUUGUAUACAAAAAUUGACUAAUGUAACCAACUUAAAAAUGAAAUAAUGCAGAUUUUGACUGAUUAUA